GCUACUGCUAUUGGGAUUCGACUAAGCCAUGCGAGUCGAGAGGGUUCGGCCCUCGGCUGACUGCUCAGUAACACGUGGAUAAUCUGCCCUUAGGUGGAGGAUAAUCUCGGGAAACUGAGAAUAAUACUCCAUAGAUCUAGGAUGCUGGAAUGCACUUAGAUUUAAAGUUCCGGCGCCUAAGGAUGAGUCUGCGGACUAUCAGGUUGUAGUCAGGGUAAUGACCUGACUAGCCUACGACGGAUACGGGUUGUGAGAGCAAUAACCCGGAGAUGAUAUCUGAGACACGAUAUCAGGCCCUACGGGGCGCAGCAGGCGCGAAAACUUCACAAUGCGCGAAAGUGCGAUGAGGGAAUCCCAAGUGCUUGCACGUAAGUGUAAGCUGUUUCUAUGUUUAAAAUGCAUAGAGAGUAAGGGCUGGGUAAGACGGGUGCCAGCCGCCGCGGUAAUACCUGCAGCUCAAGUGGUAGCCGCUAUUAUUGGGCCUAAAACGUUCGUAGCCUGUUUAAUAAAUGCCUGGGUAAAUCGUAUGGCUUAACCAUACGAAUUCCGGGUAGACUGUUAAACUUGAGACCGGGAGAAGCCGGAGGUACUCCUGGGGUAGAGGUGAAAUUCUGUAAUCCUAGGGGGACCACCAGUGGCGAAGGCGUCCGGCUAGAACGGGUCUGACGGUGGGGGACGAAGCCCUGGGGCGCAAACCGGAUUAGAUAUCCGGGUAGUCCAGGGUGUAAACGCUGCUUGCUUGAUGUUAGUUGGGCUCCGAGCCCAAUUAGUGUCGGAGAGAAGUUGUUAAGCAAGCUGCCUGGGAAGUACGGUCGCAAGACUGAAACUUAAAGGAAUUGGCGGGGGAGC
rnacentral:rRNA from 1 species